rnacentral:tRNA from 1 species
GGCAACUUGGCCGAGCGGUCUAAGGCGCCAGACUCAAGCGACGAGCUUGUCCUUCCAAAGGAUAGUAUUCUGGUAUCGAAAGAUGCGUGAGUUCGAAUCUCACAGUUGUCA